rnacentral:piRNA from 1 species
UGUCCUUCGAUGCCACACUGGACCUGGUU